rnacentral:rRNA from 1 species
UGCUGAAAGCAUCUAAGCAUGAAGCCCCCCUCAAGAUGAGAUUUCCCAUUACGCAAGUAAGUAAGAUCCCUCAAAGACGAUGAGGUAGAUAGGUUCGAGGUGGAAGUGUGGUGACACAUGGAGCUGACGAAUACUAAUCGAUCGAGGACUUAACCA